CAGCGGCGAACGGGUGCGUAACACGUGGGCAAUCUGUCUUAAAGUGGGGGAUAGCUCGGCGAAAGCCGAAUUAAUACCGCAUGUGAUCAGGGGCGACAUCGCUCCGAAAUCAAAGGUGGCGCAAGCUACCGCUUUUUGAGGGGCCCGCGGCCUAUCAGCUUGUUGGUGAGGUAACGGCUCACCAAGGCUAUGACGGGUAGCUGGUCUGAGAGGACGACCAGUCACACUGGGACUGAGACACGGCCCAGACACCUACGGGUGGCAGCAGUCGAGAAUUUUUGACAAUGGGGGAAACCCUGAUCGAGCGACGCCGCGUGGAGGAUGAAGGUCUUCGGGUUGUAAACUCCUGUCAUUUGGGAACAAGGCGCACGUAUUAACUGUGCGUGCGUUGAUAGUACCAGAAGAGGAAGAGACGGCUAACUCUGUGCCAGCAGCCGCGGUAAUACAGAGGUCUCAAGCGUUGUUCGGAUUCAUUGGGCGUAAAGGGUGUGUAGGUGGCGCGCUAAGUCGGGUGUGAAAUUUCGGAGCUUAACUCCGAAACUGCAUUCGAUACUGGCGUGCUUGAGGACUGGAGAGGAGACUGGAAUUUACGGUGUAGCAGUGAAAUGCGUAGAUAUCGUAAGGAAGACCAGUGGCGAAGGCGGGUCUCUGGACAGUUCC
rnacentral:rRNA from 1 species